CCACUUUCUGCUGGGCUGCGCGUUGGCAUUGAAAGUCCGACAAGCGAGCUGCGAACAACGCUUCAUUCCCAGCAGCCCAGCCAGCACCAAACAACCCCAUCUGAAGAAUUCUAACAAACAAAAAAACCAAAAACAAAACAAAAAUGUCCCAAACAAUCAUUUGGCUUGCUUAAAAUUGGACACGCAAAUGACAUCAACAGGGAAAUUGAAUCCGAAAUCAGCCAAAUAAAUAAUUGCGAAUUAAUUGUGUUCAACUGACAAAUAAUAACAUGAGAAGUGCCUGUCAAAUAUGCAUGUACAAAAUAAGUGGCAGUUUAAAAGGAAUCUUUUUGAAUUAAACAAAUUAUAUCUCGUUCGAAAUCAACUUAAUUUGAAGUGCAUUUAUUUGUGUGUUUGCGGAAGAAAUACAAAUGCAAAACAAAAUUCCAACCAUGUUGAUUACGUGCCCCAAAACAUGUGAGUUCUGGUUAUAUAAAGAAAGAAACAACAACAAAGAUACGAAAUACUUGUACAAAUAAGGGAAAUGUCAGUGAAAAAUGAAAUGGAAAAGGAACAAAAAAUUGCAUCAUCAAAGCGGAAUGGAAUGGGGGGUAACUACCAUUGCAUCUGCUGAUCAAAGGUAAGCCUUAGACACACAUAUAGAAAAAUCUAGAAAAUAUAAAUACGCCAAAAUCCCAUUGUUAUCUACAUAAAUUCAUUGGAAAUUAAAGUUUGUUUUGGGAAUUCCCUUCACUUGAAUUUGCAAAUUGCUGAACGCAGAUUAGACCAUAACAUGCGAUAAUUUUAUAGCAUAUGAGAAAUACAUUUGUAUAUCUGUAUGCACAUACAUACAUAUAUAGAAGCACACACGUGACUGCAAAAACAAAUACGUAAAUAUAUACGAGUAAAGGAACAGGACUGGGAAAGCAGUAGCUUUACUGCGUCUUCGUUUUCCUUUGAGUUUUCGUCUGGUUAGGGACUAAGAAAAGUAGAUAAAUCGUAUCUCUCAGAGUGAUAUUGCCAAACCCUCUAGUACCUUGAUCUAGUCAGAGCAUGCUUAUUUCCUGCCAGGAUCCUGCUCUGGUCAGAUCUCAUAUGUUUUGUGAAAUUGUGUUUUGUUUCGGCGCAACAAAAACAGGAAUUCGGGAAAAGCAAAAGUCAUCACACACCCACACGUAAACGCAAAGAUAAAAGUUUGCAGCUACAUGUAUUUCAUUUGCCAGAAAGGGAUGGGAGAGAGGCUAUAGAAAAGGAGAGAAGAGAACUCAUUUUCGUCAAGAAAAAAAAAGGCAGAAACAAAUGUGCAACGUAUACAGAGGCAAGCAUGAGGCAAAAAAAAGAACGUGGAGAAUAAUGAAUGAAAGAAUGGUAGAGGAAGCAACAGCAAUACAGAGCAAGAGAGACACAGAGCAAGGCAGAGAGAGGGAAAGAGAGCCAAUUGAAGGCCAUCAGGCCGAGCGUCGUCAUGUGGUUUGAGUGUAGGCAACAUCGGUGUGUGGGGCAGUAGGGCAACCCAAAAGGUGGCAAGCAAAAGCGAAACAGCAACAGGAACAGCGGGAUACAGCAAAGCCAGAGCAAAAUCAAAGAAUCAGGAACAGGAAAAUGUGAAAAAAAACUUGACGAAACUGAAGCAGCGUCGAAAAGAGAGACAGACAGAGAGAGAGAGCGAGAGAGCGGCGCUCAAAAGCCAAACUAGAAAGAUAGAAAAGAAACUCUGCCGGCGCGCCGUUAGCGACUGCGCUCGCAGCAGAGAACGGACAGAACAGCGCGAGAACUUUCCAUGCGGCCUGACAGACAUUGCAGCGGCACCUUCAACCGAUCGCAGGCCCACAAACACACGACCCUCCAUGAUAGUACAUUAAAUAAUACUACGCGUUCCGUGUGUUUUUUCUGUGACGCAUCAAUAUCCUGAAGGAACACAGUAGAAUACAACCCCCCAGUUAACUGAAAACAAAGUGUUUGACAAAGAAAAAAAGACAUAAAAGCAGGAGCGGAACCAACCGGAGAGUAAAUGAGAGAAAUGUGAGUAAACGAAAUUGCGUCGUAGUUAACAUUUUUUCGACGGCGUCAUCGAACGUUCCGUUCCGCUUCCUCGCCUCCCCGGCUGAACCAUCACGAAAAAUGUUGUUUUGAUUGCGGAAAAUACAGUCAACAAUUGCGAAGAGCAAAGUUGGCAAGCACACACACACACACACACACACACACACUGACACUCCCCCCACCCACAAUAUGGCUCAGGCCAGUUUUCUCCCAAUCUUGUGUGUUUCUUUUUGCACCGGAAUUUGCAGAAAUAUCAACAUUUAUUUAUAACAUAAACAACAACGAAUUAAGAAUUAAGAAAAAUAAAGAAGAAAAAAAACCAACACGAAACAAGCAAAAGAAAUCGCGAAAAAAGCUUAUAAACAGUUCCGUUUACUUCAAAACAAAACAAAAAAAAAAGUACAUUUGGAAUUUGGCAAAAGGGAAUUAUGAUUCCCAGGAAAUUUGCGCGAAAUUCGAAUGAUGUGUCUGUGUGUGUGUGUGUGUGUGUGUUGCCAUUAAGUUUGGCAGUUUUUUCAACUUGUUUAUUAGACGUUCUACACACUCCAUCACUCACUCCACUCCACUCCACUCGAAAUUUCAGUGGAAAUAUCAAGAGCGACACUUAGGACUAAUGGCAUUUAAUGGAAAUGGAACAUUCGAUAAAUGCAAAAAUAUCAUCAAUAUUUCUACAAGCUCUCAUCUAUGUACAUUUAAGAGACUUUAAAGUUCCAAUGCAUUGAUUAUAUCAAUCAAUGGAUUCAUCUAUCUGUCGAUCUAUUUACCAAUUUAUUUCGUCAGCUUAUGAGAUAUUCAUUCAGUUAUGCAUAUGAAUCUUUGCUUAUUCAUAGAACCGUUGUCAACUUUAGAGCUUUACGACCACUCGGGCCGUUAAUUUCCCAUUGCCUCACGUGUCAGAGGGAAGAUCAAAGCCGCAAUAUUCAUGCUCACACACAGAUGUAAAUGAAUAUGCAUGACGGAGCGUGUGUGUGUGCAUGCAUAUGCAUCUUUGAACGUGUAUUAUCUGCGAGCACACGAUCAGCUGAAUGCGGUAAACAAUUCCGUGAAAUUCUACACUGCAAUUCACUCAAAAAUGCAUACCACAAAGUAUUGCAAUGCCAUACCUGGCAGACCGCAGGGCUUAGAUACAAAAGAAAACAAUAAUAUAUACCCUUUCAGAGGUUAUUUUCGCUGUGGCCGUGUGAGUGGGAUUUCGAAAUUCGUUUACGUAAGUUUCGCCCCAUCUUCACAGAACCCCCACACAUCGAGAGAAUGAGAAUACUCAUUACGGAAGCUGGAGAAGGGGGUUGGGCUAGGAAAAGUCAUCUUCAUGGAAAACUAACGCUUUAAUUACCGAGAGUGGCGUCAUCUUUGUGUGUGUGUGUAUGGGAUGGUUGGGUGGCGGUCUAUAAAUAAGGUUAGAGGAAGCUGAUGUGUCCGCCCAGGUGUUCGUUCUAUUACGUAUGCAUCGCAUAAGCUGCACUUCCCAAAAUGUCAGUAAAGGUAUCGGCGGUAUUGAGAGCGAGAUAGAGAUAGAGAUAGAGAGAACAGACAAACGCAAAUGGCAAAAAUAAAAGCUCUUUCGGUCUGUCGCAGUCGGCGUAAGCAUCGUAUCGCAUCGCAUCGCGUGCUUUCAGUGUGUCGGCUUCGUCGUGCGCUCUCUGCCGUAUCUGUGUGAGUGUGUAUGUAUGAGUGUGUGCCUGCCUCUGUGUCUGUGUAUCUGUGUUUCAAGUUCAAGGUUAAGAUACUAGUUGUACAUACAGACCGACCGACCGACCGACCGGCCAGGCCAGCCUCUUGCACAACGCCAAAGAGCGAAAGAGAGAGCGAGAUGGUCAUACAUAGCUGCCAUAGUGCUGUGCUGUACCUGCAUGUGUGUGUGUGUGGUGGUGUGUGUGUGUGGGAAACCAGUUUGGCACGUUUCUUUGCGAGAGCGAGAUGGCCUCACGUUUUCGUUUCGUUUCGUUUCGUUGCGAGAAGCCAGCCGAAACAGCCGAGCCGCCACCGUCAAACAAAGAGGAAGCAAAAACAGAGGCAAAGCCAAAAGCAAAACCAAAAGCAAAAACCAAAACGAGACCGCGUCAAACAUCAAAUGAAAACAGUCGGAUGGGCUGAGGGGCGAGCGGGAGGGGAGGGGUUGCCGGGCAAACAUUGCACAAAGAAUGUGGAGAGGCCCUCUCUGAUAUGGCUAUCUCGCUCUGGCAGGCAGAUAAAAGCACACAAAAACGUUCUUGCACCACACGCUUUGCCACACUUAUUCGCACUUAUUGCUCUAUGCGUUUUGUUUUGCCUUUCAGUUUUAUUAUCUUUCGCUCACACAGAGACCCACACAUGCACACAUAUCUAUCUAUCUGUACAUAUACAUACGAGCGACGAGCUUUAAUUGAAUUGAUGUUGAUGAUUACGCUGAGUGGCGACUGCAAUCGUUCCCGUGUGGUUCGCGGCACUGCGUCAGCAUGGAAAUUUAAUUAGCGACAGUUCAGUGCAGCUGAGCGGAGACAGGGGCCAGGCUCAAUCAGCAUUCCCGCAAGCGGGACGCCACGCUGGGUGGAGAGGGAGGAGGAGCACAAGAAACAAAUUUUGUUGAUUUUUGCAUGACGACAGCAAAAAGCAAGCGACGAGAAAACAAUGCACCACGGACCCACACUGCAACUGAGUUUGUUCGUGCGAGUAUGUGUGUGUGUGAGAGAGAGGGAGAGCGCGAGCGGACAAACAAAUAUGGCGCAGUCAUGCGCAUUCUCUGAGAAACUUGAACUUGAAAACCGGCAAACCGAGAGAGGGAGAAGCAGCCAGAGUGAGAGAGCGAGCAGAGCAGAGCAGCGAACGAACGCCCAGGCGAGAGCUUUCAACACGCAACGUAGCAUAAACACCAGCAUAGAGGGAAAUCCCCCGAAACGGCAACCGCCCGCCCGGUCCGUUCCGUUCCGUUCCGCACAGUUCACCGCAAGCUACACCAACACCAGCCAAAAGAUGGCGUACCGCAAAAGCUUCGCACCGAAACGCAGCGGGUGCGAGGAGAGAGGAAAGAGAUGUGUUCGGUGUUUAUGUUUUGAAUAUACCUGCAUAUACCCUGUCGUUCCACCAACCAUCACAAAUGAACGAAAUUCGAAAAUCAGUUUUGACCAAAUCAAAUCCAGAAAAUUCAAUUGGCUAUGCGCUUUGGCAGUGUGGUUAGCUGGUUGUGUAGCCAAAAUAUUGCCUUUGACCAUUCACAGCCACUAUCUUCACUGCCGCCGCGACAAGCCAUAACAACGAUAAGCAACAUAUAAUCGGGGACUUUCCCGUAAACCAAUGGAUUUUUCGGAACUAAAUACAUACAUGUUUUAUGUCAUGGAGAUUAUUGCGGCAAAUUCAACGAUGUGUGGAUGUCAAGUCUAGCACUAGAGAUGGGACUGCUACUCACGGAAGAACACGCACGGAACGGCACAGAAACCAUCACGGUCUUACAAAACUCCUUAUUUUAUCAAUACUAUACUCCUGUACCCAUGAAGUGAUUACAAUUUUGUUUCUUUGUUGCACGAACCGGUUCGGGCCUGGAUGUUGCAUGGAGAAACGCCACAGCCCUGUCCAAGAAGCGAGCGAAACGAAAUUCGAAUCAACUCUACAAAAUUAUCAUCCAAGUAGCGGAAUACGUUCAAGAUUUAUAACUAUGUAACUUCUCCAGAAACUGCAGAGCUAAUAUUUAAAUAAAGUUGCACAAUGUUAAAUGCCAA
rnacentral:sRNA from 1 species